AAUGAGUUCCACGUCAUACAUCUUCACUGGUACUUAACAACAAGACGUAUGAUUGUUCAUGAGGGAUACGGCCUGAGGGAAGAGGCUGCUCCGGUGUUGGGAUGUUCUGGUGCUCAGAGCUCUGACAAGCCGGCCAGAGGGCAGCAGGUCAAAGAGGUGGUGACCCAGGAGCGGCAGCUAGGCAAUAGCUGGGAUGUAGCCAAGCAGCUGCGUUUGAAAAAACAUCUCUAUUAUCUUUGCACUGCUUUGACAAUGCAUUCAUCAUCCCCUGAACCUACUUACACAACGCUGGAUUAGUUUGAUAAAAUAUAACAGGCCAUUGCAGGAAAGAGAGAGAGGAGAGUUAUUUGGGAAAGAUCCUGUCCUAUAUUCCUCUCCAAAGCGUAUGAGGAUACGCCUUUGUGUAAGUUUUGUAUUCAUAUUUUUGCACUCAUUAGUUUGCUCUAGUGCUCAACAGAUUGAAAACAUGGUGGCUGCUUAUUAGUGUAUGGCAGUGAAAUCAAAUUCUUGACAUAUCUACAAUGGGAAACAUUGUGUGAUUAUAUUGUAGGUACAUGGAUGAUAGCAUCUGUUCUGAGGAAAUAAAGCAAAUAUGAGUCUGUG